GAGCGUACACAGGUGCUGCAUGGCUGUCGUCAGCUCGUGUCGUGAGAUGUUGGGUUAAGUACCCGCAACGAGCGCAACCCCUGCAUUCAGUUGCCAUCGGGUGAAGCCGGGCACUCUGGAAGGACUGCCAUCGACAAGAUGGAGGAAGGUGGGGACGACGUCAAGUCAUCAUGGCCCUUAUGUCCAGGGCGACACACGUGCUACAAUGGCCGGCACAACGGGAAGCGAGUUCGCGAGGACGAGCGGAUCCCUUAAAGCCGGUCGCAGUUCGGAUUGAAGUCUGCAACUCGACUUCAUGAAGCUGGAAUCGCUAGUAAUCGCAGAUCAGCCAAGCUGCGGUGAAUACGUUCCCGGGCCUU
rnacentral:rRNA from 1 species